rnacentral:rRNA from 1 species
AUGGGGGGUGUGAUUGGAAAGGGAGACACCCCAAGGUACAGUUCAGCAGCUACAAAGUUAGAGCAGAAGAUGGUUGAUGCCAUGCAGCAGAGGGCACAACAAGGGACUUCCCUGAAGUCAUUCAACAGUGUCAUCAUGAAGUUCCCUAAAAUUGACGAGAAUUUGAGAAACUGCAGGAUUAUCUUUCAGCAAUUUGAUGAAGAUUCAAAUGGUGAAAUAGAUCAAUUAGAACUGAAACAUUGUUUCCAAAAGCUGGAUAUCUCAUUCACAGAUGAGGAGAUAAAAGAUCUAUUUGAAGCGUGCGACAUAUAUGAACACAUGGGCAUGAAGUUCAAUGAGUUCAUUGUCUUCCUGUGCCUUGUUUAUCUUCUCAAUGAUCCAGCUGUGUCAGAAGCAAGAAAAAGAAUGGGAUUAGGUAACCUUGAGCCGACUUUUGAGACGUUGGUUGAUGCAUUUGUGUUCUUGGAUAAGAACAAAGAUGGAUAUGUCAGUAAGAAUGAGGUGAUAGAAGCGAUAAAUGAGACCAGUGCAGGAGAACGCUCUUCUGGACGCAUAGGCGUGAAAAGAUUUGAGGAAAUGGAUUGGGACAAGAACGGAACGGUGACCUUCAAGGAGUUUCUUUUUGCCUUUACUCGCUGGGUGGGGAUCGACGAUAAUGAAGAUGACGACGAUGAUGAAUAA